AAACGCCAAUCACUCCCAGCUGCAAUCAUGUCAAACCCUUCCGGGUCAGCCACGACUUUACUUACUGCGUCGUUGCGAGCUCAGUUUGUGUCCCAGCUAUGGAAUGGACAGCUGUAGCAAGAGAAAAGGCUCCACUGUGUCGAAAAUGAUGAUUUGUGAGGAGUAAGAGUCGAGCAUUGGCACAUGAAUUGCAGAGCUUCCUCGCACGUGUGGGUGAAAGAAGUCCAGAAUUGACUUUUGUCAGUAGAAGCAGCUUCGAAAUAGUUCGUUUUGUUGGGGCUGACAUGUUCAAUGAAAGAAGAAUAGUCCAGCCAACGUGGUCAAGUUUGGAGGACCUCCUGACCCCACGUGGCUGAUUGGCAUUGCCGACCGCCGUCAGAGGUGUCCCGGCCGGCCAGCGUCAGGCCAGAGAAUUCCUCCUCAUGCACGCCUGCGUUGGUUCAUGUCUUUCUGGCUUGUUGGCCCACUUCUUUGCUGACCCAGAACGUCUCUGCUUCGGCCUAGCAACGGAAGCGCUGGCUCCCCCAAAAAAUUUGCUUGAAAGUCCGCUGCAUACUUGCGGGGGCUUUGACGCCAGGAAACAAGCCGUACGAGGAGGUUGCAGCUGAGACUGGACGGUUCCCCAAGGAGGGAGUUAGCUGGCCGGCGAGUCGCAGCAUUGUGGACGUGCAUGUCCUCGGCCAGGCCGGAGGAACUGAACUUCGACGUGAGGCUUGCCAGCGGGGAUUUGCUGAUGGUUUGGUGUCAGUGCCAAGCUGGCAUGGGGGGGGGGGGCCACAAAAAAAGCACACCUUGUCAUGCAGGAUCUCCCCCAGGGUGUGGAAAAUGGUUCCUCAGUGUGAGAUGAGGAAAUGUAGUUUGGCUUUUUGUCAGACGUAAGUGCACCAUUAUGCAAUCUGGUGUGUUUUGGGGAUCCCAACACAUUUACAAAACAAUGGCAGACUACCGUAUUUUACAAUUCUGAGAUUCAAAAGUAUUCAAUACUUAUUCAUUUAACAUUAUCCCCUUUGGUAAGGUUUGUGACGCUGACCAAGCAGUAGAUGGCAGUGUAAAGCAAAGUCGAACCGCAUACUUUCCAAAUGAGCAAAUGCAUUACUUCAUCACGAGCUUUUUAAAGGUAAAUGAUAACUAUAUGCUGUUCAUAACUUUCAUGUACAGAGUCUCUGAAGAGUUCGACGUUUUGAUUAUAGUGACAUUUCAGUGUGUUGCAAAUUUUGUGAUUUUUUUUUUUUUUUUUUUUUUUUUUUUUUUUUUAGUGGCUUCAGGCUGUAGUCGAAGUAUGUUCCUGUUAGCAUUACAAGCGACUCCUCCAAAUCACUUGAUUCUCGCUUCAGCGAACAGAGUCAUUCACUUAUGUAGCCGUCUUUUUAAUGUUUGACUGUUAGUUUUCUUGCUUGGCUCGCUUCAUGUGAAUAAUUUGUUCAACCUUUCAUCUAGCCUAAUCAUUGAAGUUUUAACUCUACCAGAAGAAAAGAACUGGGCAAUGUAGGGUUGGGCGGCUGGGCGGUUAAAGUCGGGCCGGUACUUUAUUUAUUUUUGUCUUCCCUCUUUUCCAAACCUCGAACAUGGGCAUCGGCAACCCACGGCUCUCUAGCGCUGCUCACUGGCACCCUGGAUCUUUUUCAAAAAUGUUUGAAAAUGGAAAAGAUGGGAAGGUAGAAAUAUUUAAUUUUAUGGUUCUUUAGGUGGACAAAUGUUUUCCAAUUCUGUAAGAAUGUGUAGAAUAAAUAUAAAAUUUCAACA